rnacentral:lncRNA from 1 species
AAGAAAAGGAACAAAAAUGAAAAAAAACUACUCCCCUUCUAUUAUUCAAACAAGAAGAUAAAUACAUGAAUAUUGCAAAAGAAGAAUUUUUAUUAUUCCCUCUUUAUCCUAUGUUUGUACUGCUGGGGUCACGGAUGAUGAAAAUGGCCUGGCGGGAAUGCUCCCCAAUUAUGCUUUGGGUGCUUUGGAUGCUUUGAAUGCCACGGUUGGUAAGGGGGCGGGGGCGAGGGUGGUGGAGGAGAAGGUGGUGGCGGUGGAGGCGGAGGCGGUGGUGGCGGUGGAGCCGGAGGCGGUGGCGGUGGCGGGCUUCUUGGUGAGCAACCGAAGGCACCACAGUCAACAGGAUGUGCAUAGAAUGACUUGCAUUCCAUAGCUGAUCGCUGCAAUGGCCUAUUAGG